UACGGAGGAUGCAAGCGUUAUCCGGAAUGAUUGGGCGUAAAGCGUCCGCAGGUGGCUAUGUAAGUCUGCUGUUAAAGAGUGAGGCUCAACCUCAUAAGAGCAGUGGAAACUACAUGGCUAGAGUGCGUUCGGGGCAGAGGGAAUUCCUGGUGUAGCGGUGAAAUGCGUAGAGAUCAGGAAGAACACCGGUGGCGAAAGCGCUCUACUGGACGGUAUCUGACACUGAGGGACGAAAGCUAGGGGAGCGAAUGGG
rnacentral:rRNA from 1 species